CCUCCAUGUGUGAAAGCGAGUGCAGGGUCAUCUCCCCCUGCAGAUUUCAGCUCGCCUGGUCCUGAUCUCUCUCCCCUUCUCAGUCUUUCUUGCCACAUGAUCUUGGACAGGAAGAGAAAAUUUGCCUGGAGAGCAGAUUGGAAGGUUUGGCCGAAUCCCAAAAGACCACAUUUUCUAAGAUGAAUCUGGCCUGUUUCUGAAUACGCUUGAAAAUGUCGAGCAAGCUUCAUCAAUAAGACCUGCCCCUGAAUGCUAAGAAUAUCGAGUCUUCGCUACAGAGUACUGGCAUCAUAAACUGCUGUAAUAUUGACCUUGGGUGAUAUUGUGCCUAUCAGUUCGGAAGCGAUGCAGGACUUCCCCACAAACAAGGCAGUGGUUUCUGCAUACUUCAUGUUGAUGGGUUGGUAACUUGCAAGCUGUCUGACAGAUAGCCACCAUUUGUCAUGGCCAGUCAUGAUGGAAUAUGUGGAAGAGAAGGAGACACCAAUUCCAAGUGCCCAUUUCUAGGGCAACCCAUAAUAAGAGAGGCUUUCAAAGAUCAGCUGCUGAGUGGUUGGUUCCCAAAGAUCAAAUCCCACUUGAAGAGUCCAUAAAAGACGUAGGACUUGUACGAUAACUCUGCGAUCCCCCCCAAAAUGGAUUCCGUCUGAUUUCACAUUUCUGGACCAAGAAGAAAGAUGCCGCGGGAUGCUGUAGCAGUGUCCUACAUUGAGGAGGGGGGGGUCAAUCUAGAAGAUCUCCAAGACCCCUUCCAAUUCUGAAAUCCUGUCAUUCUAAGCACUGGGAAAUUUACUGGCCGAGGGAAAGCGCCCCUAUCUCUCAGACUGGCUCCAAGGAUGCUGUUCAACUCUUCUACAAGCUGUCAAACUAACAACAACAAAAAAGCUCUAUCGCCUCCUCUUCUCUGUGAUGUGAUUUGUGACUGGUUGGAGGAAAAACCUGGAGCAAGCUGGCUGGAACACACAGGAAAAAGAUCUUCCAGAGAUUCCAGAGGCGACCCUACGUGGACUGUCCAUUUAAUCCCCCAAAUUAAACAUCUUGCGAAUCUGCUGCGAAGCAAACUUGUGUGAAUAACUCCCAGAUAAUCUCAAUGGGCGAAGAAAACAUUCUC